ensembl:lncRNA
GGGGCCCUGCCCCACCCAAGGGGCUCUGCCUGGGGGCUCUGCCCCACCCCAAGGGGCCCUGUAGGGGCUCUGCCUCAGAGGUGCUGUGGACUCUCCCACAUCUACCUGGCUGGUGGGUGGAGGUCAGGACCCCAGGAGUGCCGUGCUGGAGAUGCUCAUCUCUGCAGGCAGUCCUCUGGUCCUGGCACCUGCCCUCGAGGCUGGGACUCUGCCCAUGACCUUCGGCCUGGCCCUCGGCACCCUGCUGGUCGUCAUCUCACUGGUCCUAGGGGCGCAGUGGUUCCGGGGCAGAGGCACCUGCAGGGGCUCUGGAAUGUCGGGGAGUCUGCCCUCUGAAGGCCUUUAUGAGGACAUUGGAGCUGCUGCUGCGGGGGAGGAGGACGAGGCUGCUGGAGCCUCCGCGGCGCCGGAGGAGGAGGAUGACGACGCGGCGGAGCCCGAGCCCGAGGAGGGCGCCGCGGAGGAGGGCGCGCCCCUGAGCGCCGCGGGUCUGCAGCUCUGCGUCGUGGCGUCCGUGGCGCUGUUCCUGCGCUGCUGCUGCUGCGCCCCGGGCGCCGCCCCCGCCAGCCCCUACAUCUGAGAGCCGGAGAGCCCCGCGCGGGGCUCUUCAUAGCCUGGGCCUUCUCACACCUCAGGCUGGGAAGAAGACCCCAGUGGCCUGUGCCCCGGGGCGUGCUGACCACGAGCCGGCUCCAGGGGACAUCAGCGAGACCAGGGCAAGGGAGAGGCCAGUGUGCCUGGGGCUUUCAUCCUCCUUGUUUCUUAAAGAGUUUUAUUAAAUGUCUCAUCCAUAAUUCAUCUCAGUCACUCAGACGCCCACCACGGCCUGGGGUCUGUUUC